rnacentral:misc_RNA from 1 species
UUCUUCAGAAGAUGCGGAAUAACGUGACAUAUUGUAUUCAGUUUUGAAUGUUUAUUUAACAUUCAAAAAAUGGGCCUAUAGCUCAGCUGGUUAGAGCGCACGCCUGAUAAGCGUGAGGUCGGUGGUUCGAGUCCACUUAGGCCCACCAUUAUUUGUACAUUGAAAACUAGAUAAGUAAGUAAAAUAUAGAUUUAACCAAGCAAAACCGAGUGAAUAAAGAGUUUUAAAUAAGCUUGAAUUCAUAAGAAAUAAUCGCUAGUGUUCGAAAGAACACUCACAAGAUUAAUAACGCGUUUAAAUCUUUUUAUAAAAGAAAACGUUUAGCAGACAAUGAGUUAAAUUAUUUUAAAGCAGAGUUUACUUAUGUAAAUGAGCAUUUAAAAUAAUGAAAACGAAGCCGUAUGUUAACGUUUGACUUA